UACGGGAGGCAGCAGUAAGGAAUAUUGGUCAAUGGACGCAAGUCUGAACCAGCCAUGCCGCGUGAAGGAUGAAGGCCCUCUGGGUUGUAAACUUCUUUUAUCUGGGACGAAAAAAGAGCUUUCUAGCUCGUCUGACGGUACCAGAGGAAUAAGCACCGGCUAACUCCGUGCCAGCAGCCGCGGUAAUACGGAGGGUGCAAGCGUUAUCCGGAUUCACUGGGUUUAAAGGGAGCGUAGGUGGGCAGGUAAGUCAGUGGUGAAAUCUCCGGGCUUAACCCGGAAACUGCCAUUGAUACUAUUUGUCUUGAAUUAUCUGGAGGUAAGCGGAAUAUGUCAUGUAGCGGUGAAAUGCUUAGAUAUGACAUAGAACACCCAUUGCGAAGGCAGCUUACUACGGAUACAUUGACACUGAGGCUCGAAAGCGUGGGGAUCAAACAGGAUUAGAUACCCUGGUAGUCCACGCCCUAAACGAUGGAUACUCGACAUCAGCGAUACACUGUUGGUG
rnacentral:rRNA from 1 species